rnacentral:rRNA from 1 species
UACGGAGGAUGCGAGCGUUAUCCGGAUUUAUUGGGUUUAAAGGGUGCGUAGGCGGGAUGCCAAGUCAGCGGUAAAAAUGCGGUGCUCAACGCCGUCGAGCCGUUGAAACUGGCGUUCUUGAGUGGGAGAGAAGUAUGCGGAAUGCGUGGUGUAGCGGUGAAAUGCAUAGAUAACACGCAGAACUCCGAUUGCGAAGGCGGCAUACCGGCGCCCUACUGACGCUGAGGCACGAAAGCGUGGGUAUCGAACAGG